CCGGGAUCGCGUGGAGCAGCACGCAGGGGAUUCACUGGUGGAGCGCAGCGCGAGCGUGCGGGAGCAGCGCUGCUGGUGGAGCGCGGGCUGCCGAGGCUGUUUUCCAGUCUGCGUCCGCAUCGCCGUCGCCCUCCCAACCAGCCAUGUAGCAGCCUGCACUCCUCCGUCUCGUCUUUGUCAAGGGAUGCAGGUCCUCAAUCUCUCCAUCUGAUUCUCCAUCUCUCUCUCCCUAAUGGUGGAAAGGGCGACAGAGGGCAUGGAGCUGUUGUAGGCAAGACAGCAAGAAGUCAAUAAAAAAGUCGAGACUCAAGUUUCAGGAGCAAGUAUGGGGAUAUAUCAUGUCCAUGAAGCACCAGUUGGUUUGUUGGAAAGACCAAAUUGCUCUAGAAUUUGCUUGCUUUUAUAGCAUAGAAGUCGAUCGGGUGAAAAUGAUUGUACCCAUCAAGUAAGAAAAAUUGGUUUGAAUGGUGGUUCAGAUGCUGGAAGCAUGAUAGAAAGAAUUGUUGAUCUUUCGAUGAGUGAUGAGCUGCAAGGUGCAAGAACGCAAGUGGUUAUAGCUGAACUUGAAGCUCUAUCAAAACUGACGGACAAGAUUCUUCUCGAGCUCGAUAAUAUUAUGAUUUUGAUGCAUCAGCAAUUAUACUCGAUAAGCAGAGGCAGUGGGAGUUUAGUCAGGCCAUAGCUGGUGCCCCUGGGUAAUAUGCCAAAGCUACGAUGUCGGUGUGGCUGAUCUGUAUGACGGGAACGAGGAGUCAGCCAGUGGGCAAGAUCGAAAAUCCCAAACCAAUUUGAACAUCUUUUUUUUUCUUCAGGAUAGGAUGGGGAACAAGUUGGACCACGUGGGCCUCCUGACUCGUGGGCAAUCUCUCAAUCCAUACUAUAAAAAGUAUAUAGUUAGUCUGCUAUGAGUCCACUUUUCAUUUGCUUUGGUGAUUAAGAUUUCUGUGCUUUGUUGCAAUGCUCAUUGGUUAGAAGCUUAUCUGCUGAUAACCAGGAUUAUUAUAUCCUUGAGUUUUCUCUGCUCCGAGCAUUCUUAGGCACUUAAAGAAGCCAUUGAGGUCUUCUGCAAUAAGGGUGUCUCUGGUAGUUCGAGUGAUGAGUUACUCGUCACCUUCUGUGACAAUAUUUUGAAGAUAGGCUUCGGUGAAAAGUUUGCAGAUUCUGAUCACCUGCCUCUUGUUACUGAAGCUCGAGGGGAGAGGUUCAUCUUUCUGACUUUUGGCGCCCUACUGGGCCUCUUCGCCGGCUCGCCAUCCUCACUGCAUUGUCGCCUAUGUCUCCUUCUGCUUCUCCUACACCGCCAGAAACAAGCGAAGGAUAAUAUCAUUGCCUCCUACGGCCACGAAAAAACCAUGAUAACAAACACUAUGUUCUAAAAAGUGCAGAGCCAUGUGUCUCAAAUCUGAAACAUGGUGGAAGAUUUAGGAGCAGGUUUGUAGUCUCUACAAACAUACUCUGAUGCAUAUCUGAAAUUGAAAUUGAAGAAGCCAGUAACAUGUGGUCAUCUGAAGUUUACUUAUAGAAAAUGAACGUUUGCUACUAAUUUCUUUACUUGCUCAAGCUUGCUUGCUAGAUUAC